rnacentral:lncRNA from 1 species
AACUUCCAUCCAGAAACACAAAAAUAACAAGUAAACACAGCUUAAAGUUCUGGCUACUGGAUUAUUUAAUCUGCUGUGGAGAAGAACAGUAUAUUAUAACAUAUAACAUGAAUAAAAUAAAUGAAUAAUAUCACAAACAGCACUUUGUCACAUUUUUGUCAAAAUCACUGAUAAACCAGAAUUAUCACAUUCAGUGGUGAUUUAAAGAACUCAUCAUGACUCCUUAAAAACUUCACAGCACAGCAGUAUUUCAGGUGUGUCCAAUGACCACACUUAUCACACUUCAGCUUGUAACUGUAAUGAAAUAAACAAAAAACCUUACCACAUGCAUAACAUGCACACAAUAUUGACUGAAAUUUGAUUUCUCAGUUCUUAACAAUGAAAAGUCGGAAGUUUAGUCCAGUAGUAUUAUUCAUCAAAAAGGGCGCCAAAAAGCGCAUGUGUGAGGCAGUGCUUGAUGACGUCAUUUACAAGAGGAAACUCCUUCUGUCACUUAUUUUCUGGGGAAUUAUUCAUAAUUCAUCGAGUGUUAUUGAAGUUUAUCAGUCAAGUACACUGGAAAAACAUAUUUUCUAUCAAAUCAUAUAGAAUAAAUAAGUAACUUACCCUUAGGAAGGACAUAUUUCACGGAAGAUACACUUGAGGAAUAGUCGUGUAAUUUUGUAAACAAAGGAUUCCGGAAGUGCUCUUCAGGAAGUAAAUAUUCGAGAUUUUUGGACUGCACCGGUAAUAGAUCAAUGGAACAGAUUAUAAAGGUCUCAAGUCAAUGGGUAGUAGAUCUAGAACGAAAUUUUUCAGUUUCGAAGACAAGUUUACUGUUUACGGUGCACCUUCAUUCAGAAAGGAGUCCAGUACAAGAGACGUGUAGCAGGAGGCAAGAAAACGUAGAAAGCAAUUAUCAUCUGAUAUUUGCGGCCACAAGACUCCAAGGAUGACUGAUUUAAUUAAGGGAACACAAAACGCGUCACGUACUGAGGAGUGGAAUUUGUAUGCAAAUAGUUUGGCGGAAAAUAGGGUGUUCAGUUGAAAAAAAAAAUAGGCGUUGAUACAUUAAAACAGCUUGACAUAUAUAAUUUAAGCUAGCACAUAACCACACAAUGACAUAUUUGAUUAAUAUAAUAGGGCUAUUGUAGAAAUGAUCUAUGAAUUUUUAGAAUUCUACAUGCCAACUAUAAUUUGGACUCUUUAAAUACGCAUGGCAGCUUCCUCUAGUCUUCUUGCUUUGACGUUUGAAACCUCCAAAUCAAUGAAUGAAUUGUAUGUGUGUUGAUUUAAUUGGCACAAAUCAUGAAGAACGCAUGCCUUUAUCAGUUUAGUUUAUAAUUGAUAAAUUUAAUAAAAAUGAUGAAAGAACCGUUAUUGAGUUUCGAUGCUUAUUAUAUUCUGUCAGGCCAGCUAAAAGGACACCUUGAAAUAAUUAUUAUAUCAGUACUCUAAAGACGUUUC